rnacentral:pre_miRNA from 1 species
AAAGUAGUGUGCAGCCAAGGAUGACUUGCCGAUUUAUAAUAUCUUUAUAAAAACUUUGUUAAGAUAUUUUUUUUUUCAAAUUCAUUGGUUUUGAGAAGUUAGGAAUAAUUAGGAUAUACAUUUAUUUCUUUUUUUUUUACAUUUAUUUCGCAUAAAGAAAAUUAACAUGAUCGGCAAGUUGCCCUUGGCUAUACGCUUCUUUGU